UACGGAGGAUGCGAGCGUUAUACGGAUUUACUGGGUGUAAAGGGAGCGUAGACGGCGAUGCAAGCCAGAUGUGAAAGCCCGGGGCUCAACCCCGGGACUGCAUUUGGAACUGUAUAGCUAGAGUGUCGGAGAGGCAGGCGGAAUUCCUAGUGUAGCGGUGAAAUGCGUAGAUAUUAGGAGGAACACCAGUGGCGAAGGCGGCCUGCUGGACAGAAACUGACGUUGAGGCUCGAAAGCGUGGGGAGCAAACAGG
rnacentral:rRNA from 1 species